rnacentral:rRNA from 1 species
GAUGAACGCUGGCGGCGUGCCUAACACAUGCAAGUCGAGCGAUUUACUUCGGUAAAGAGCGGCGGACGGGUGAGUAACGCGUGGGUAACCUGCCCUGUACACACGGAUAACAUACCGAAAGGUAUGCUAAUACGGGAUAAUAUGCUUUUAUCGCAUGGUAGAAGUAUCAAAGCUCCGGCGGUACAGGAUUGACCCGCGUCUGAUUAGCUAGUUGGUAAGGUAACGGCUUACCAAGGCGACGAUCAGUAGCCGACCUGAGAGGGUGAUCGGCCACAUUGGAACUGAGACACGGUCCAAACUCCUACGGGAGGCAGCAGUGGGGAAUAUUGCACAAUGGGCGAAAGCCUGAUGCAGCAACGCCGCGUGAGCGAUGAAGGCCUUCGGGUCGUAAAGCUCUGUCCUCAAGGAAGAUAAUGACGGUACUUGAGGAGGAAGCCCCGGCUAACUACGUGCCAGCAGCCGCGGUAA